GAUGAACGCUGGCGGCGUGCCUAAUACAUGCAAGUCGAGCGAACAGACGAGGAGCUUGUUCCUCUUACGUUAGCGGCGGACGGGUGAGUAACACGUGGAUAACCUACCUUUAAGACUGGGAUAACUUCGGGAAACCGGAGCUAAUACCGGAUAAUAUAUUUAACCGCAUGGUUCAAUAGUGAAAGACGGUUUUGCUGUCAUUUAUAGAUGGAUCCGCGCCGCAUUAGCUAGUUGGUAAGGUAACGGCUUACCAAGGCAACGAUGCGUAGCCGACCUGAGAGGGUGAUCGGCCACACUGGAACUGGGACACGGUCCAGACUCCUACGGGAGGCAGCAGUAGGGAAUCUUCCGCAAUGGGCGAAAGCCUGACGGAGCAACGCCGCGUGAGUGAUGAAGGUCUUCGGAUCGUAAAACUCUGUUAUUAGGGAAGAACAAAUGUGUAAGUAACUAUGCACGUCUUGACGGUACCUAAUCAGAAAGCCACGGCUAACUACGUG
rnacentral:rRNA from 1 species